AUGUUAGUUUGUGUGAGACCCACCACGGAACAGGAACUGAAAGAAUUUACACAGCCCUUGUCAGGGUCUGCUGUUAAUCUCCUCAAAGACUUGUUUGGAGAGAAAGCCCAGAGUCUGAAAACGACCAAGGACCCAAUCCAGCUCAUCACAAACCCAACUUCAGAGACACUCUUCUUUAUGCCCCACGUCAACAAUAAAGACACAGUUUGCCACAAAAUUGCCAUUGAAGACCUGUGUGCAAUGGAUGCCAUGAAGAAUAUGAUUCCUCCUAACGACUCAAAGAGGGUUAAGACCCCAUCCGCCCCUAGGACCAAAAGUGAGAGAUUCUCUCGGCCCUCAAGUCCAACUCAUGACAUCUUACUGGCAGUUGUAGAAAAACUGGUCAAUAAAAUGACUGUUCACAGUCUCAGCAUCCCAGAGGCUUCCAAUGAGGCUGCCUGCAAACAGUUAUCAUGUUGUUCUCCAAAUGGACCUCUUUCAGAGUUUCAGCAUCAACUGAUUUCUAGGCUCUGCCCUGUGCUUGUGUCUGACAUUAUGGAAUCGCUUUCCAGUGAAAUCGUCAGCCCUGAUGAUUUAGGUGAAUCAGCUUGCCAAUCACCUGUGCAAGUUAUCGAAGAUGGAAUGGUAAGGUCUGGAAGCGCAAGUGUCGACGUCUCAAAUCAUUGUGUUCAAGAGGACACCUGUGUCCAAGAGGGCAACGGUAUAGCCAGUGAGAGAGUGACAGAUGAAUCUGUUGAUAUUCUGGAAAGGGCUGUGUAUGACAUUGAGUCUGCGAUGACUGAUGCUGCAAAACAGUCUUGCUCUAGCCUUCCAUCCAAAACAGAUGUUGUCGUAGACGUCAUCACUAAGCUGAUCUCUGAUAUUGAGUCUGGCAGUAACUCACCGACACAUCUCACGAACAUGGCAGUUGACAUGGUGGUAUCUGUGUUGGAUGAUCUAUCAGAGGAUACUAAAAUGAUUUCAAUUCCAGCAUCUCCUGACCACUUUCAUUCUCAAGUGAAAUACACCAGGCCCCCCAGUUGUAGGAUCGUAAGCAGUGUUCGCAAGGAGCUUGAGGAACAGAUUGGUUCCGCUGAUUCCCUCAAGCGAGCUCUAAACUCUGAAAGCACAGAAGUCACCAAGGCUAUCUCGAGUGCCGUUGCAAGGGAAGUCUCUACACUCCUUUCAGAAUCAGUAGCUCGUCACAUAGCCUCCACUUCCAGCUCUGACUCUCUGUUAAGCGCACCUGCUACGACCUUUGCACCUGCCGUGCGACCACUAACUGCUGUCAUCAGACCUGACGUCCCUACCGACCCUGACUGUUUGGCUAAUCCCUACCAUAGAUGUGCAUCUUCCAUAGAUACCAAGCCUUUAAUGAUGAUGGUGCACCUUGGGACAGUCAAGGAUAUUGUCAGCAGACUCCUGUUACACCUGUUACCGAUGGGUUUAAAGGACUUUAACCUGGCUGACUGCAGCCUCUUUGACACCAUCUUCUCUGAACUUUCUUCCAGUCUCUUUUUGAGUGUUUCCAGGAACAAACGGAAGGCCACUGUUUGCCUGGACUCUGUUGAGGUCUGUCAGGUUGUCCUCAUGGUCUACAAGCGGUUAAUCAAAAUGUAUGGUUCUCCAGAACAUCUUGAGAGCCUGACAUUUGCAAAGUGCCCCGAGUUUUAUUCCUGCAUUUCAAAACUCAUUGUGGAAGGCAUCUUAAAGUCACCCCCGAGACAGCCCUCUGGAAUGAAGGAAACCAGAGCAGUGUGCUCCUCAAAUGUGACUGUCUCCACUGAUGUUCCCAGGACACCAAAGGAGCAAACAGAGUGUGGAAAGAAACAGCAGACCAAGAUGAUGGCAACCAUUCAAGCAGAGGUAGACGGUUUUUCUAUGUAAGGAAUAUAUAUAUUACCCAGGUAUGCUCUCCAGUAUCUAUUGGGGAUGGUACCAUUUCUCUAUAGGUCACAUAUAUUCCAUUUUUGUAUUUACAGGCCAUAGAAUGCCACACCAAUGAAUACUCUGCUAUGGGUGAGUGAUUUUCUUUGUUAAAAAGUCUUGGUAGUUACCAUUUAAAAAUCUUCCAGGGCUGGAUCAGUAAUGGCAGUAUGGAAUAGCUGAGAUUCAUAUGCUUGUGAUGAAUGGAUGGUUAUUAGUAGAGCAAAAAACUCUCUAAAGCCCACAAAUAUAAUUGUGUCUUUUGAUCACCAGGCAAAGACAAGAUACCCAAGAAGAAGGGCAGAGUUGGCCGUUUCUUUCACCGCAUAUUCAAGGGGGUUAGACGCAGCUUCACAAGCUGCACUUCAUCCAGAGGAGUAAUGGAUUAGUUUCUUUUAUUCUAUUUUUAAAUAUUUUAUUUUAUUUUUAUUUUGUUUUAUUAUUUUGUACUUAACCUUACUGAAAGGAAACUCAAAAGGUCCACACGAUUUUCAUUUA
rnacentral:lncRNA from 1 species